rnacentral:rRNA from 1 species
GUGGGGAAUAUUGGACAAUGGGGGGAACCCUGAUCCAGCCAUGCCGCGUGUGUGAAGAAGGCCUUAUGGUUGUAAAGCACUUUAAGCGAGGAGGAGGCUCCCGUAGCUAAUAUCUACGGAGAGUGGACGUUACUCGCAGAAUAAGCACCGGCUAACUCUGUGCCAGCAGCCGCGGUAAUACAGAGGGUGCGAGCGUUAAUCGGAUUUACUGGGCGUAAAGCGUGCGUAGGCGGCUUUUUAAGUCGGAUGUGAAAUCCCCGAGCUUAACUUGGGAAUUGCAUUCGAUACUGGGAAGCUAGAGUAUGGGAGAGGAUGGUAGAAUUCCAGGUGUAGCGGUGAAAUGCGUAGAGAUCUGGAGGAAUACCGAUGGCGAAGGCAGCCAUCUGGCCUAAUACUGACGCUGAGGUACGAAAGCAUGGGGAGCAAACAGGAUUAGAAACCCCAGUAGUCC